CCCCUGAUGGUCCCAUGGUUAGGACUCUGCACUUGGACUGCAGGUGGCAUGGAUUCAAUCCCUGGUCAGGGAA
rnacentral:tRNA from 1 species